rnacentral:rRNA from 1 species
AAAUUGAAGAGUUUGAUCAUGGCUCAGAUUGAACGCUGGCGGCAGGCCUAACACAUGCAAGUCGAACGGUAACAGGAAGCAGCUUGCUGCUUCGCUGACGAGUGGCGGACGGGUGAGUAAUGUCUGGGAAACUGCCUGAUGGAGGGGGAUAACUACUGGAAACGGUAGCUAAUACCGCAUAAUGUCGCAAGACCAAAGAGGGGGACCUUCGGGCCUCUUGCCAUCGGAUGUGCCCAGAUGGGAUUAGCUUGUUGGUGGGGUAACGGCUCACCAAGGCGACGAUCCCUAGCUGGUCUGAGAGGAUGACCAGCCACACUGGAACUGAGACACGGUCCAGACUCCUACGGGA